rnacentral:rRNA from 1 species
CUACGGGUCGCUGCAGUAAGGAAUAUUGCGCAAUGGAGGCAACUCUGACGCAGCCAUGCCGCGUGCAGGAAGAAGGCCUUAUGGGUCGUAAACUGCCUUUAUUUAGGAAUAAACCCCCGAACGUGUUCGGGGCUGAAGGUACUAAACGAAUAAGCACCGGCUAACUCCGUGCCAGCAGCCGCGGUAAUACGGAGGGUGCAAGCGUUAUCCGGAUUUAUUGGGUUUAAAGGGUGCGCAGGCGGGCUAUUAAGUCAGUGGUGAAAUCCCGGGGCUCAACUCCGGAACUGCCAUUGAUACUGAUAGUCUUGAGUUUGGUUGAAGUGGGCGGAAUGUAGCAUGUAGCGGUGAAAUGCAUAGAUAUGCUACAGAACACCAAUCGCGAAGGCAGCUCACUAAGCCAAAACUGACGCUCAUGCACGAAAGCGUGGGGAUCAAACAGGAUUAGAUACCCGCGUAGUC